AUUGAACGCUAGCGGCAUGCUUUACACAUGCAAGUCGAACGAGUGGCGGACGGGUGAGUAAUAUAUAGGAACGUGCCCAGUAGCGGGGGAUAACUACUCGAAAGAGUCGCUAAUACCGCAUACUCUCGGAGUGGCCGAUAUCGGAUUAGCUAGUAGGUGGGUUAAUGGCUCACCUAGGCGACGAUCCCUAGCUGGUCUGAGAGGAUGAUCAGCAACACUGGAACUGAGACACGGCCCAGACUCCGACGGGAGGCAGAAGGGGGGAAUAUUGCACAAUGGGCGCAAGCCUGAUGCAGCCAUGCCGCGUGUAUGAAGAAGGCCCUAGGGUGGUAAAGUACGUUCAGUGGGGAGGCGUUACCGGCAGAAGAAGCACCGGCUAACUCCGUGCCAGCAGCCGCGGUAAUUC
rnacentral:rRNA from 1 species